AUAACAUUUAAAAACCAAAAAGAGUACAAAUUUUAUUAGAAAUACAAAGUUAAAAUAUGAUCCUUUUAUUCGAACUUGAUGUCACCUACCAGAGUUGACCACAUCUCAAAAUAAUAAACGACAUAAAAUAGAGUCUUUAGAUAUGGCAUCUGCUUCACUCCAAGACAAUAAAUACAACCUAUAGAAGUUGAAAUUUAAAACAUAUAGAGUCAGGGAAGGAAAAUACAAAAAACAAAAGGGUAUGUUUUGAAAACAUUUAAUAGUAGAAAUUAAAUUAGAAAACACACAAAAUAACAAGUAAAUAUCAUAUCAUUCACCACACAAAUAAUUAAGGAUCGUCGAUAUAUAAUGAUAUUUCAAUUCACAAUGUCUAAAUGAGACAAUCACAAAUCAAGAUUAAGUACCUAUAUACUUAAACUCUAAUUCUUAUAAUUUGGUUCCAUUAUAUUCUACAAAGGUUCAUGCCUAUCUCUAUGGUACUGCAUUGCUGAUUCAUGAGAUUAUCACAUCUCUCUAGUGAUAUUGCACCACAUCAUGUGUGAUAUUUAUCUCUAGUGAUACCACAUCAUACAAACCCAAGGAAUUCACAUGCUUCUAUACUAUGAGUAUUUUUCUCUCUAGCUAUACCUCACGUGGUUUAUUCUCUCUAGUGAUAGUGCACCACAUCUAGUAUAAUACAUCUCUAGUGAUAUUACAUCGUACCAACCAUAUGAAUUAGAUACUUAUAAAUUGAGAGUGUGCUUAUUUCUAAUCAUACUUCACCAUAUGAUCGCUUUUCUCUUGUGAUAUUGCGUCACAUCUGAUAUGAUACUUUUUUCUAGUUAUAUUGUAUCAUAGCAACCUUAUAAAUUAGAUACAACUCAAACAUCACUUAGGCUUGUCAGAACAUACCUAGUUUUUGUGAAAAUAAUCUCCACUUCAAGGCCCCAAACAUUUAAUCCCUCUCCUCAUUAACUUAAGAGCAUCAUUUGCAGCAUCAUUUGGAUCUAUCACUAUUUCAAUAUCUACGAGGUAAUCAUAAAAAUAUAUAUACAUCUCAAGUUGAUAACAACAAAAUCAUUACUCAUGUACUAUUAUCUCAUAAUAUCUUAUCCCUCAUCACUUACAAGCAUUUCACAUGUAUAAAUUAUCAAACAAUUCAAAUAAUAAUAUCAAACUAUUAAGACAAUUCAAGAGUAAAACACGAAUUUUCACAAUUGUAUUAAUGAAAAACCAUUUAAAAUAAUUUAAAUCAAUCAAAACCUUAAUAAAGUUUCUAACUCGUAUUUUAAGCCUACGUUUCCAGAUUUUCACAUUAGACCAUUUUCAGUUAAAGUACUAUGACCAUUUGUAGCGAUCCACGAUGAAAUUGUUGAAAAUACUGGUUUUCCCAUUCAUCACACUUAUUUUACACUAUGAAUUUGAAAUCAUUUUCACCCCAUACCUGUUUUUGAUGCAUUUUCAAACGCUAAUCCUUGUCUCGGCGCAAAAAUCUAUUGUCCCAUUAUAGGACGAGAAAAUGGCAACAUUUGUUUUUUUACACAAUUGAUUAGCACCAAAUAUAAUUUCUGUACAUUUUCUUGCAUGACUUCCAUCUAAAAUAUGUCUGUUGUGGCAUCUUCAUUUUUUUUUUUAGGAAACAUCUUCAUUUUCUUUAUAUUCUCUUAUUGUUGUUCUCUCUCUAGUAGAUUAGUUUUUUUUCUCUCUCACUUGACACAUGUGCCAAAAACUUAUUCAAACACACACAAACACACUCACACACCCGCACCUAUAUUAUUUUUCUUUUCUCCCUUGUUUUCAAGAAACAUGGACCAAUAACAUAAACACGAAUAAUUACUUAUUUUAUUCCUCUACUCAAAUUAAAACAAUAUUCUCAAAAUACUCAUACUAAAAUACGCAUUUUAGACAAUAAUUAAAAUAAUAGCUAUGAAUUCUUACUAGAUUCUAAAACACCACCUUCCAGCCCAAAUCCAAAUCUCUCUUUCACAAUGUAGCUUUUGAUGAGAGAAAUGUCUACUCAUCACUUGUGGCAACUCCUCCAUCAAAUCCCAUUCGGGCUCGGUCAAAACAUGCACAGAAUGAAAUAGGUUUUUUUAUUUAUUUUAUUCUUACUUAUUUUUGUUUUAAACUCUUAUUUUGUGCAUCAUCUGAUGGAUAAAAUGUUGGUUGUUCAAUUUAAAUCAAAGUCAGUCAAGGAAUUCAUAUGAGUUUUUAUCAGAAGUUGUUUCUAGACGAAGAUAAUGAGAUUGUUAAUUAACAUUGGUGAUCUGAUUUGUUGUUGUUUUUAGUUUGUGGCUAACUUGUCGUAAUGUUUUGCACAUCAGUUUAUUGCCGAUCAAUAACAUAUGCGAACCUCCUUAACUUUACAGAGGUUUUCUUGGUUAGCGAAUGUUUGGUGAUUUUUGGGAUUCGAGCCGUCAGAUCUUUGGCGGGAGUGUUAGUUGUUUGUUGGUUUCUAAUUGUUUAUUUGGUUUUAGUUCUAGAUUCUCAAUGACGAUGAUUCACGCCAUCAUCGUUGUUGUUCAAGUCACUGUUUUACGAAAGUUGGACAAAUGAUUGUUAGGCUAGAAAUAUCCAUGAAUACUUGUUUGUUUGUUGCAAUGGGUUGUCGGUGAGUGAACAUGUUUCCCGUAUUGACGUUCGGGUUCACUCGUCCCUCUCAAGAUCUUGGUUCAGUGCUGGUAAACAGUCAUAAACCUCUUUUUAUUUUAAUUUGGUUUCAUGCUCAUACGCGUCAGGUUUGGUAAAUUGCGCAUUUGUGCGCAAUAGUUUGCUUGAUUCAUACUUAGAUUUGUAAUUAAUUGACCUUUAGGACUGUUAUGUAUCACCUAUUUGGGUGUUUAUUAUUUGUUUUACUUUAAUCUACGUAAGAUGUUGCGGAUCUAUCUGCACCAAGAAGGUGACGAUCACAGAGGAUGAGGGCAGCGCCGUUACCGAAGGUGAACUUGGGUUUGGCUUCCAUCGGUUAUGCAGGAUAGGUUUUGAAUGGAAUACAAAUCGACUACAGGGAGACAUGUUUAUUAAUUAAAUGGGUGUUUUAAUCUCAACCCUCUAUUUUAAUCUAAUGGUUUGAGAUUUGUUCUCAUAUUCUCAUAUGUAAGAAAGACAUUAUAUAUAUAUAUAUAUAUAUGAGUCAGGAUCCGUUGACACCAAAUCCUGACCGUCCAUAUCAUUUGAU
rnacentral:lncRNA from 1 species